rnacentral:rRNA from 1 species
AGUGAACGCUGGCGGUAGGCCUAACACAUGCAAGUCGAACGGCAGCACAGUAAGAGCUUGCUCUUACGGGUGGCGAGUGGCGGACGGGUGAGGAAUACAUCGGAAUCUACUUUUUCGUGGGGGAUAACGUAGGGAAACUUACGCUAAUACCGCAUACGACCUACGGGUGAAAGCAGGGGAUCUUCGGACCUUACGCGAUUGAAUGAGCCGAUGUCGGAUUAGCUAGUUGGCGGGGUAAAGGCCCACCAAGGCGACGAUCCGUAGCUGGUCUGAGAGGAUGAUCAGCCACACUGGAACUGAGACACGGUCCAGACUCCUACGGGAGGCAGCAGUGGGGAAUAUUGGACAAUGGGCGCAAGCCUGAUCCAGCCAUACCGCGUGGGUGAAGAAGGCCUUCGGGUUGUAAAGCCCUUUUGUUGGGAAAGAAAAGCAGCAGGUUAAUAACCCGCUGUUCUGACGUUACCCACAGAAUAAGCACCGGCUAACUUCGUG